rnacentral:rRNA from 1 species
UACGUAGGGUGCGAGCGUUGAUCGGAAUUACUGGGCGUAAAGAGUGCGCAGGCGGCAGAGCAAGUCGGGUGUGAAAGCCCUGGGCUUAACCUGGGAAUUGCAGUCGAUACUACUCAGCUAGAGUAUGGGAGAGGGCAGUGGAAUUCCCGGUGUAGCGGUGAAAUGCGUAGAUAUCGGGAGGAACAUCAGUGGCGAAGGCGGCUGCCUGGCCCAAUACUGACACUCAGGUGCGACAGCGUGGGGAGCAAACAGG